CCAGAGAACUUAGCAGAGAUGCUUUGGUGCCUUCGGGGAACUCUGAGACAGGUGCUGCAUGGCUGUCGUCAGCUCGUGUUGUGAAAUGUUGGGUUAAGUCCCGCAACGAGCGCAACCCUUAUCCUUUGUGCCAGCGGCUCGGCCGGGAACUCAAAGGAGACUGCCGGUGAUAAACCGGAGGAAGGUGGGGAUGACGUCAAGUCAUCAUGGCCCUUACGGCCAGGGCUACACACGUGCUACAAUGGCGCAUACAAAGAGAAGCGACCUCGCGAGAGCAAGCGGACCUCAUAAGGUGCGUCGUAGUCCGGAUUGGAGUCUGCAACUCGACUCCAUGAAGUCGGAAUCGCUAGUAAUCGUAGAUCAGAAUGCUACGGUGAAUACGUUCCCGGGCCUUGUACACACCGCCCGUCACACCAUGGGAGUGGGUUGCAAAAGAAGUAGGUAGCUUAACCUUCGGGAGGGCGCUUACCACUUUGUGAUUCAUGACUGGGGUGAAGUCGUAACAAGGUAGGCGUAGCGAG
rnacentral:rRNA from 1 species